ACUGCAUCCCUUUCUUUCAUUUUGUUACUUGGGAUUUCAGCCAGACACCGAGACUGAAGUGAUCAGCUGUUUUGUGUAAUCCCCCUCUCCUUUUUUUAUUUAAUGUAAAAUGGUCUGCUCUGCUUUGGUUUAGUCUCCUUUAGUGCUUACUGUGCUGGGGGAGGGGGCUAGUAGCUUACGUUUGCUUGCCUUCCUAAGUAAGGAAGCCUACCCUUCUCUCAGUGCCUUAGCUUGUUCACAUCAUUUUGGAAGACUGUUCUCAGUGAACUGGACCAGAGGAUUUAAUUCUUACAAUAUUUUGUCUGCAGUGAAAUAAUCCAGGAGUUGCUACUUCUUUUUGGACCAUGCAUCAAGUGAACUCUACAAGAUACAACUGAAUUGUAACGUUCUGCAGAAGUGAAGCUUGCAGCAGUACAGUUUUCAGACAUCUGAAUCCGGAGUGAGACUGCUGUGCAAGAAGGUCUCAAUGCCAUAAAUUCUCCAACUCGGUGAACUCCAAGGUUUUGAAUCUGCAACUGCCAGUUUUGUUUCACCAGCUUUUCAAGUGAUUACAGAGACUUUCCAACUAUCUACAAUAAGCAUUCUGGCCACCUGCCUCUCUAUC